GUCCACGCCCUAAACGAUGUCUACUAGUUGUCGGGUCUUAAUUGACUUCGUAACGCAGCUAACGCGUGAAGUAGACCGCCUGGGGAGUACGGUCGCAAGAUUAAAACUCAAAGGAAUUGACGGGGACCCGCACAAGCGGUGGAUGAUGUGGAUUAAUUCGAUGCAACGCGAAAAACCUUACCUACCCUUGACAUGGAUGGAACCUCGGAGAGAUUUGAGGGUGCCCGAAAGGGAACCAUUACACAGGUGCUGCAUGGCUGUCGU
rnacentral:rRNA from 1 species